CCCUCCUUCUCUUUGGAAUGAGACUGACUCUCCAGAAAGGCUGUGCCCCGUCCACUGUACCCUCCAGGCUGCAUGACUCAAUCGCAGGAAACUCAGUCCCUCCCAGUGAUGAGCAAUGGUGCUGGCGGGUGGGUGUCUGGAGGGACUGAGACGGCUCCCCUCCUCUGCAGAGAGACUGUUUUCAAUGACCAGAGUGUGGGGAGGUCAACAGACAUGCCUCACACCCCAGCCCCACAGGCAGGGCCAGCUGGUGACUCAGGGGCAUGCAGGCGUGCAGAACUUCAGGUAGGCGGUGGGCCCUGAGCUGCAGAGGCUGGGGCAAGCGAGUGCGGGACCCAGGAAGAGGCACCCCGUCGGGCAGUGUUUGAGUAGAGUGCCAGAAGUGGGGGUCAGCAAACAGCCGGAGAGACCGAUGAACAAACCCUUGCACGUCAGUCCUGGCCAGUCACGUGACCUUGGGCAAUUUAUAUCCCCUCUGAACUUCAGCUCCUCCUCCCUGGGCUCCGGUGAGGAUGAAGGUGAACAAGUCACGCUGUGAGUGUCUCCCGUGCCGGGCAUGGAGCAGCUCUGCGAAUCUCAGCUGUCAAAUGUAGACCUGACCCUUGUUCAGUGCUGCCUGAGGCCAGGGGCGUUGCCAGCUCGGCUGUUCUGCAACUGCACUGUGCAAUGUGGUAACCGCUGGCCAGACGUGGUUACUUAAAUAUUCAUUUAAAAGUCAUUAAAAUUAAACAACAUUUAAAUU